CAGCAACCGCGGUAAAACAGAGGGUGCGAGCGUUAAUCGGAUUUACUGGGCGUAAAGCGUGCGUAGGCGGCUUUUUAAGUCGGAUGUGAAAUCCCUGAGCUUAACUUAGGAAUUGCAUUCGAUACUGGGAAGCUAGAGUAUGGGAGAGGAUGGUAGAAUUCCAGGUGUAGCGGUGAAAUGCGUAGAGAUCUGGAGGAAUACCGAUGGCGAAGGCAGCCAUCUGGCCUAAUACUGACGCUGAGGUACGAAAGCAUGGGGAGCAAACAGGAUUAGAUACCCCCGUAGUCCCUGUCUCUUAUAC
rnacentral:rRNA from 1 species